GCCAAAAAUCUUGUCUCUAGGGUAAUGUAACCUUUAGGAAGUAGAAAGCACUGGGUGGGUGGACUUCUCUUUAAUCUUUCUCUCAUUUUAGGGCAGCUAAGAAUGAAGCUCUCCCCUGCAAAGGGGUCAGCAGUUGGCUCUGCACACAAAACAAUGGGCCAAAGCUGAGUGGAGGUUGUCACCUCUCCUCCUCCAACCUGUGCUGGCUCCAUGUCUUCACAACAUCAUGGGGACAUUAUCUUCAGCCAGCAGUCCUUUGGCCUUGGUGAUACCACCAUGCGCCAACCUGGAAAUCAGAUUUCAUGGGCUUCAGGUCCAGGGGCUGGAGGAAGUACGUUGCUGGCUGCACCACCUUAAUUUAGCCCUGGGGAAAGGGACAUUUCCACUGUCUCUGGGAACACUAUCUCUAAUUCUCCUUCCCUGUGUCUGCAUUUGGCUAUUCACAUUCAGGUAUAAAUUAACUAGAACUUUCAAUAAAAUUAAAAAUUCAGUUCAUUAGCUGAACUAGCCAUGUUUUAAGUGCCCAGUAGCCACAUGCAGCUGGUGACUAUUGUUUUGGACAACGCAGAUCCAGAGCAGUGCCACGACCGUGGAAGUUUCUGUUGGAUGGUGCCGCUCUAGCAUCAUAAUUAGCAACCAUUUUCCAUCACAAACAACUGACACAAUAUACUUUCUUUUUGAGCCCAAAUUUUGAGAAAAUAUCAAAAAGUGUAAGAAAGUAAAAGUAGUAUAAUGACCCCUAACAAUGACAACAAUUGGCCAUUGGUCAUGGGAAAUCAUGCAGGCUGUAGCAUAGAAGAGGUAGGCUGCAGAGUAUAUGUCAUUCUUGGAGUCCUCUAAGUCGUAUAUUCACCCAUUUCUCUGACUCACGAACAUAUCACGAUAAUAAUCAUAAUGAUCAUAACAGCAGCUGCAACAAUAAAGUGAACAUUUACUAAGUACUUACCUUUGAGCAAAGCACAAUGCUAGACAUUUUUUAGAUGGCCCUUCAUCUAAUUUUCACAAUAACUGUAGGACAUGGAUAUAAUUUAUCUCCUGUAGCAGAUAGCUUUGUGCCUCAUGACACAUCCACGAUCCACUGCUGAUUUCAGCCACAGCUGCUGUGGAGAUGUCUCUGCAAGCUCAUUUUUCCCAGUGAAAAUGGAUGCCCUGGGGCAAUUCUCAACCAAUGAGGGAUGAGUCUGGAGAAAUGUCUCAGGCCUCCGCCCUUUCAAAGAGACAUCUUUGGAUGCAUUUUAUGUGGUUUCUCUGUGCGUCCCUAAAAGGAUGCUCCAUCCUCAAUCAGUCACAACAGUAACCAGCUCAAUAAUAUGCCAUAUUGCUUUUUCCUACUUAAAUCUGCCUCAUUUUCUCUCUUCCUACAUUUCUUCUUUCCGGGAUCACCCUCAACAUGAUCUUUAAUAAAUAAGCUACCUGCAUCCAGGUCCUUGGCGCAGGCUCUGCUUCGGGAGGAACUCAAACUAGCUUACCCCUACUUCAUAGAUGAGGAACGUGGGGUUUAGAACAGUUGACGUUUCUCUAAAUUCUCAUUGCCAUGAAGUGGCAGAUCAAGGAUACAAACCUAGGUUUCUCCUGAUUCCAAAGAUUUAACGCUUACUGUGAUCUUCUAGUGUAAGUCAGAAUGUAAGUACAUAAGAGGGAAGUGAUAAUAAAAACUCUCAAUCUGUUCUUAUUUAUAGAAUAAAUGGAUUAUUUAUAAGCUUCAAACCUCUGAGUCACUUCUCUAAAAUGAAGAAAUCAAUGAGCUAGUGUCAAUAUUUACUUUUUCUUCACAGUGGUCAUUUGAUACCUAGAAAGUAUCAGCAGUAGCUUCCAGGUUCAUCUUGCACUGAAAAUAUUUUCUGGUAUCAAGGGCGCUGUGCAAGGCAGAACAGGAAGAGUGAUUCUAACAGGGAAGGCGCAGAGUGUUGGUGUUUUUCUUCAGGACUCUCAGGAGGAAAAACUCUCCUCCUUUCCUGACUACUCUUCUAAUAAUUGCUUCUCCGUCAUCUCAGACCCCAGUGACCCUCUAAGUGUCAGAAGCAGGGUCAUCUGAGUAAGAGAGGAAGCUUCCAGAGGCUUCACUCUCCAAGCCAGGAUUUAAGAAAAAGAUCAAGAAAGAAUUUCAGGACAAAGGCCCUUGCAAAUGCAGUUUCGAAGACUCACUCCGAGCUUCUUUGGGAAAAAAGAAUGGGGCUUGUUUCCCCACCGUCACUCCAUUUCCUGUCCCCACUCGAGCUUGUAACAGAGAAUCCCAGCACAGAUCAGCAGAUGCUGUGACACAUGCACACGCCUGCAUAUGGCACGCACCAGGAAAGGCUGUUCCAGAAUGCUAGGGAAAGCCAACUGUCACUCCAAGAAGGGACGAGCAUGAUGUACCGGCACACUCCCCAUACAAAAUCACUACUGCCACCUCUGUCACCUUGGUUUACUUUAUAACAUCAGUUCUCAAAGAGCAUUCCAAUGUCUCUUGAGGGUCCUUGAGACCCUUAUAGGGGAUCUACAAGGUCAGAACUAUUUUCAUAAUAUUAUGAUGAUGUUAUUUGCCUUUUCUGUUCACCUUCUUUCAUGAGCAUAACUGGAGAUUUUAGAGGCUACGUAUUGACGUCACAACAGAUUUAAUGCAAAUGCACUGGCUUCUUUCACAAAGGAGGAGACAAAGCAGUUGAGCAUCUACUAGACACGAUUCAGUUGCAUGUCUAACACAAGAAAUCUUUUGCAUUGCUAUCGGUCAUCUAUAAUUUACAGUUACAAAAUAGUUCAAAGGCAAGGAAAGCACUGAGCUCCCACAGAGAUAACUCCGAGCGAAGUGCUGAGGUUCAUGCCUGUAGUCCCAGCUACUCAGGAGGCUGAGGCAGGAAGAUCAGGCUGAGGUGGGAGGAUCAUUUGAGCUCAUUUCAGCUGAGGAAAUAUAGUAAGACCCUGUUUCUAAAAACAAAAAAGAGAAAGAAAAGAAUUAGAUAACUUGGAAGACUAAAACUCUAAACAGUGCAUUAUUUUCUAUUGAAGUAUAGGUUUUUCCCUACAGCUGAGACCCCCUCAGGUGCCAGGCACUGAGCUAAGUAAUUCAGAAUAAGAAGAACUUAGUUUGUAUCCUGCUCUCCAAGGCCUUACAAUCCAUUCCUAUUAUGUCCCAUCACUAUCACUGAAGAGCGCCUCUGUUCUCACAAAAAGAAAUGGCAUUUCUUAGGGUUUAUCUCUAUCUGUUAGGUAAUAAAAACUAACAUCAACUUAGUGCCUACUGUGUUUCAGGCUCUCAACACCCUCCCUAAAGCCCUAUCAGAUAAUUAUAUCCCCUCAUAUUACAGAAGAGAUAUCAGAAGCUAGAGAGUUAAGUCACAUGCCAAAAAGCUCAACCAGUAAGGUUCUUUCGGGGCCCAAACCUCAGUUGAUCCAGCUCCACCUUCCCUCUCUCCCUUAAUCUGGCGCCAAUCCGGCAAAGGGACUCCUUGGCAAGAAAUGCGUGAUGUCGUUAGUAUUCACACCAGAAAGAGCAAUUGUAUUGACCCUUGAGAAUCAUGUGUUUUUAUUAACCCCCUUAACUCAGUCAGAAUUUUUAACAGCACUUUGCUUAGCAAUGGACAUAGUACGUCCUGAAAGAGAUGUUUUGGUUCCUUUGUCUUUCUUGAGGUGGAUAGCUAUUUCUGGAUGGUCUAGGAAGAAGAAUUCAUAAAGAUAUUCUCUCAGAGAGACACGCACAUGACAGAUGGAGUUUAGAAGUUGGGCUGAGGGUUGGCUCAGAGCAGGAAUUGCCAAACCACAGCCUAUGGGCCAAAUCUGGAUGGUUUUUAGAUGGCCUAUGAGUUAAUAAUGGUUUUUCUGUUUUAAUGAUGAAAAAUUGUUUAAAAAAUAUUUUUGUGACAUGAAAAUUACAUGAGAUUCAAAUUUCAGUGACUAUAAAUUUUCAUUAGACUACAGCCACACCCACUAGUUUCAUGUUUUCUGUGCCUGUUUUUAACCUACAAGGUUCAUGUCCCAAGACAGCUUCCUAAAACAGAUUUGGAACCAGGAUGAUGUUACAAUUGGUCAGAGCAAAAAUUUAAAAAGACACAUUUAAAGAUCAGGAAUAAUGAAAUGAAUUUGCAAAUGGAUGAAAAACUGGCUUCCUUACCAAAGGGGAUAUAAGUCAGUUGAGCUUCCACUAGACAGAAUUCAGUUGCAUGUCUAAAACAAGCUUCUGUUGCAUUGCUGUCAGUUAUCUACAAUCUACAGUUACAAAAUAGCUCAAAGGCAAGGAAAGGCACUGAGCUCCACAGAAGAAGAAUUAGAUAACUUUGAGCCAAGUGCGAUGGCACAUGCGUGUAGUCCCAGCUACCAGGGCAAAUAGUUCUUCUAUUUGCAAGAUUGUCAUAGAAACUGUAUGUCCUACAAAAGGGAAAAUAUCUGUUAUCUGGCCCUCUGCAGAAAAAGUUUGCCAAUUCCGGCUUAGAGUGACUUUUGUUUCAGAAUAAUUUCUCAGGAACCCCAGAGUGAGUAGUUCAGAAGGACCUCAAGAUGGCAUGUGCUAUAUGCCACAGUGCUCAGAAUUACUGGAGGAAAUUUUGUUAUUUUAGGAGAUUUGGUAAGAACGCCAAACCCCAGUAGAGGCUUAAAAUCCUAGCCUGAAUACCACUUUGGGAAGGUCCUCGCUGGGUUUCCCGAACUUGGCACCUCUAUCACUCUAUGGCUGUUCUGGAUCAUGUCCUGUGGAAGUUCAUUUGCCUUUACCAUUAAUUACGAUAAUUACAACUACGCGGUGCCUCCUGUGUGGGAAUUUGCCAUCCCUGACAGAAGACUCUUGCAAAUCGUUCUUCUUUCUCAAGAGCACCCUCUGCUGGUCAGUUCUCAGAUGGCGCCACAUCAUCGCGUCUUCGUCUGCAGAUAGUCUGCAGUCAGAAGCCGAAGGUUCUUUUGAUCCAGAGAACUAAGUAUUUUAGCUAUUGUCUCCAUGGCUGUUCGAAUUUUCAAGCACAUGGGCAUUAACAUCUCAAGAUGUGGAACUUCUUUACUGUAGAAGACUGUGAAAGAACAAAACUCCCUUUGAAUGCAAAGCAACAAUCCCCUAGAUGAGCUGGAAAGGCAUAGGUAAGCACUCCCUCGUUGCAUGCUGGCUCCCCAAAUUACUUGAUAAUAAGGCAAAGCUGAGUGCAUGGUUUCCACCAUAAGGAAGUCUCAAUAGAAGAAGAGCAGGGUCUUAUUUAUGAAAAUUCUGACGCUUAAGGCAGAUCUUUUAAUGUGGGAGAGGGAGGUCUGAUUAGAAUAAGGAUUGUGGGCCGUGGAGACCGCGUGCGCCCCGCGAGCACAGAGCCUCGCCCUUGCCGCUCCGCCCCCGGUCCACACCUGCCGCCAGCUCACCAUGGAUGACGAUAUCGCUGCACUCGUUGUCAACAAGGGCUCCGGCAUGUGCAAGGAUGGCUUCGCGGGCGACGACGCUCCCCGGGCCAUCUUCCCCUCUAUCGUGGGGCGUUCCAGGCACCAGGGCAUGAUGGUGGGCAUGAGUCAGAAGGAUUCCUAUGUGGGUGAUGAGGCCCAGAGCAAGAGAGGCAUCCUGACCCUGAAGAACCCCAUGGAGCUCAGCAUUGUCACCAACUGGGACGACAUGGAGAAGAUUUGGCACCACACUUUCUACAAUGAGCUGCGUGUGGCUCCUGAGGAGCACCCCGUGCUGCUUACUGAGGCCCCCCUGAACCCCAAGGCCAACGGCGAGAAGAUGACCCAGAUCACGUUUGAGACCUUCAAUACCCCAGCCAUGUACGUGGCCAUCCAGGCCGUGCUGUCCUUGUACGCCUCUGGCUGGACCACUGGCAUUGUGAUGGACUCUGGUGACGAGGUCACCCACACUGUGCCCAUCUACAAGGGGUAUGCCAUCCCCCAUACCAUCCUGUGUGUGUCUGGACCUGGCUGGCCGGGAUCUGACUGACUACCUCGUGAAGAUCCUCACCCAGCGCAGCUACGGCUUCACCACCACGGCUGAGCUGGAAAUCACGCGUGACAUCAAGGAGAAGCUGUACUACAUUGCCCUGGACUUCCAGCAGGAGAUGGUCACGGCGGCCUCCAGCUCCUCCCUGGAGAAGAGCCAAGAGCUGCCCGACGGCCAGGUCAUCAGCAUCGGCAACGAGCGGUUCCGCUGCCCUGAGGGCUCUUCCAGCCUUCUUUCCUGGGCAUGGAAUCUUGUGGCAUCCACGAAACUACCUUCAACUCCAUCAUGAAAUGUGAGGUGGACAUCAGCAAAGACCUGUACGCCCACACAGUGCUGUCUGGCGGUACCACCAUGUACCCUGGCAUCGCCGACAGGAUGCAGAAGGAGAUCACCGCCCUGGCGCCCAGCACGCUGAAGAUCAAGAUCGUUGCUCCUCCCGACUGCAAGUACUCCGUGUGGGUCCGCGGCUCCAUCCUGGCCUAGCUGUCCAGCUUCCAGCAGAUGUGGAUCAGCAAGCAGGAGUAAGACGAGUCUGGCCCCUCCAUCAUCCGCUGCAAAUGCUUCUAGGCAGACUGUGACUUAGUUGCCUUACACCCUUUGUUGACAAAACCUAACUUGCGCAGAAAACAAGGUAAGAUUGGCAUGGCUUUUUUUUUUUUUUUGGCUUGACUCGGGAUUUAAAAACUGGAACAGUGAAGAUGACAGCAGUCGGUUAGAGCAAACAUCCCCCAAAGUUCUACAAUGUGGCCAAGGACUUGACUGUACAUUGUUCUUUUUUUUAAGUCAUUCCAAAUAUGGUCAGAUGCAUUGUUACAGGAAGUCCCUUGCCAUCCCAAAAGCCACCCCACUUCUCUCUAAGGAGAAUGGCCCAGUCCUCUCCUGAGUCCACACGGAAGAGGUAACAGCAUUGCUUUUGUUGUAAAUUAUGUAAUGAAAAAAUUUUUUAAUUUCACCUUAAUACUUUUUUAUUUUGUUUCAUUUUGAAAGAUUUUAGCCUCUGUGGCUACCCCUUUUUUGUCCCUCAACUUGAGAUGUAUGAAGGCUUUUGGUCUCCCUGGAAGUGGGUGGAGGCAGGCAGGGCUUACCUGCACACUGACUUGAGACCAGUUGAA